rfam:Haemonchus contortus, ISE/inbred ISE, WGS project CAVP01000000 data, contig: Hcontortus_18679
GGCCCAAACUUGAAGUAAGGUAGAUUAGUAAGGUCAGCUGAUCCGAGUAUUCUACUGUACUUCGAAAUUGGGCCC